rnacentral:rRNA from 1 species
GCUAGUAAUCGCGGAUCAGAAUGCCGCGGUGAAUACGUUCCCGGGUCUUGUACACACCGCCCGUCACACCAUGGGAGUCGGAAAUGCCCGAAGUCAGUGACCCAACCGGAAGGAAGGAGCUGCCGAAGGUGGAGCCGGUAACUGGGGUGAAGUCGUAACAAGGUAGC